rnacentral:lncRNA from 1 species
CUUCAUUCUGGGAAAUCAAAAGGUCACAAGCUAACUCUUGCACUCGUUUCAAGCGUCGCUUGCAUCUGUUUACUUAUCCUAGGAUUUGGGCUGUUACUGUGGACAAGGCACAGACAUAAGAAACAAAAAUUCUUCGAUAUUAAAGGUUUAUUCGGCUAGUUCAAUUCUUUUAACUAUGAUUUCUCUACUUUUCCUUUUCUUUAACUACCUAUUACUUCAAAAUUAUAGAUGGAAAACAUGAGGCAGUUUCGCUUGGAAAUUUAAGGAUGUUCCAGUUUAGGGAACUUCAGACAGCAACCAACAACUUUAGCAGUAAAAACAUUUUGGGAAAAGGUGGAUAUGGACAUGUCUACAAGGGCUAUUUACGAGAUGGAACUGCUGUGGCUGUGAAAAGGCUGAAAGAUGGUAGUGCCAUUGGAGGAGGGAGACAAUUCCAGACAGAAGUCGAGAUGAUCAGCCUAGCUGUUCAUCGGAACCUCCUUAGGCUGUACGGAUUCUGUAUGACUCCAACAGAAAAGCUAUUGGUUUACCCUUACAUGUCCAAUGGAAGCGUUGCUUCUCGUCUCAAAGGUACACAUAUUCUAGGACUUAUCAUUACUCAGUUGUGCUUUCAGAAUCUUGAAAUUGCAAGAAGAUUAGAUUGUGCUGAAGAGUAAUAAAACAAUAUAAUGCUGAUUAGGCAUUCCAUUUAACUUGAACAGCAAAACCAGUCCUUGACUGGGGCACAAGAAGAGGAAUAGCCUUAGGUGCUGCUCGGGGACUGUUAUAUCUCCACGAGCAAUGUGAUCCAAAGAUAAUUCACAGAGACGUAAAGGCUGCAAAUAUACUCCUUGACGACUACUGUGAAGCAGUGGUAGGAGAUUUUGGGCUAGCAAAGCUUAUGGAUCAUCAAGAUUCACACGUUUCAACCGCUGUACGUGGCACAGUAGGGCAUAUAGCCCCAGAAUAUCUCUCCACUGGCCAGUCCUCUGAGAAGACAGACGUAUUUGGAUUUGGGAUCCUUCUACUUGAAUUGAUCACUGGAGAAAGAGCACUGGAAUUUGGCAAAGCAGCUAACCAAAAAGGCGCAAUGCUUGAUUGGGUGAGAGCACACAACACGAACUUGCAUUCUCUUAACAAAUUCGAUUCCAUUCUUGUGUUUUUCUUACUUUCAAGGAUGUCUAAAAUAUGCAUCAGGUGAAGAAGCUUCAUCAAGAGAAGAAACUGGACACGUUUGUCGAUAAAGAUUUGAAGAACAACUAUGAUAGGAUUGAGCUAGAGGAAAUGGUUCAAGUGGCACUUUUAUGCACACAGUAUGUUCCAAGCCACAGGCCUAAUAUGGCUGAAGUUGUCCGUAUGCUAGAAGGAGAUGGCCUUGCAGAAAGAUGGGAAGUUUCUCAAAGAUUAGACACAAACAAGUAUAAAACGCGAGAACUUUCCUCAUCGGAACGAUUUUCGGACUUAACUGAUGAUUCUUCAUUGCUUGUUCAAGCCAUAGAACUCUCUGGUCCGAGGUGAAUCAACUACACAUGUUAAUUUUGUUAAACGCAGACCACAAUUUCUCAAAGGGGAAGUUCAUAGCAAAGGCUAUAAAGAACUUUGAAUUCCUUCUUUUACAUAAUUUUUUUUUUUUUUUUGGGUUAAUGUUCUUCGGAGGAUUACGUUUGAAUUAGCUACUUGUCUGGAGACAUAUGCCCAAUAUGAUAAGCUUGUUAGUGAAAGUCG